rnacentral:rRNA from 1 species
UACGGAGGAUGCGAGCGUUAUCCGGAUUUAUUGGGUUUAAAGGGUGCGUAGGCGGGAUGCCAAGUCAGCGGUAAAAAUGCGGUGCUCAACGCCGUCGAGCCGUUGAAACUGGCGUUCUUGAGUGGGCGAGAAGUAUGCGGAAUGCGUGGUGUAGCGGUGAAAUGCAUAGAUAUCACGCAGAACUCCGAUUGCGAAGGCAGCAUACCGGCGCCCUACUGACGCUGAGGCACGAAAGCGUGGGUAACGAACAGG